AGAGUUUGAUCCUGGCUCAGGAUGAACGCUAGCGACAGGCUUAACACAUGCAAGUCGAGGGGCAGCGGAGGCGAGUGCUUGCACUUGCCAGACGGCGACCGGCGCACGGGUGAGUAACACGUAUGCGACCUGCCCGUAGCAGGGGGAUAAGCGGAAGAAAUUCCGUCUAAUACCGCGUAAUAUCUUUCGGGGGCAUCCCUGAGGGAUUAAAGGAAGCGAUUCCGGCUACGGAUGGGCAUGCGGCGCAUUAGCUAGUCGGCGGGGUAACGGCCCACCGAGGCGACGAUGCGUAGGGGUUCUGAGAGGAAGGUCCCCCACACUGGUACUGAGACACGGACCAGACUCCUACGGGAGGCAGCAGUGAGGAAUAUUGGUCAAUGGGCGAGAGCCUGAACCAGCCAAGUCGCGUGAGGGAAGACGGUCCUAUGGAUUGUAAACCUCUUUUGUCGGGGAGCAAAAAGGCCUCGUGAGGCCACAAGCGAGAGUACCCGAAGAAAAAGCAUCGGCUAACUCCGUGCCAGCAGCCGCGGUAAUACGGAGGAUGCGAGCGUUAUCCGGAUUUAUCGGGUUUAAAGGGUGCGCAGGCGGAAUGUCAAGUCAGCGGUAAAAUUUCGGGGCUCAACCCCGUCGUGCCGUUGAAACUGGCGUUCUUGAGUGAGCGAGAAGUAUGCGGAAUGCGUGGUGUAGCGGUGAAAUGCAUAGAUAUCACGCAGAACUCCGAUUGCGAAGGCAGUAUACCGGCGCUCAACUGACGCUCAUGCACGAAAGCGUGGGUAUCGAACAGGAUUAGAUACCCUGGUAGUCCACGCAGUAAACGAUGAAUACUAACUGUCCGGGCCGAUUGAGGUCUGGGUGGUACAGCGAAAGCGUUAAGUAUUCCACCUGGGGAGUACGCCGGCAACGGUGAAACUCAAAGGAAUUGACGGGGGCCCGCACAAGCGGAGGAACAUGUGGUUUAAUUCGAUGAUACGCGAGGAACCUUACCCGGGCUCAAACGACGGAUGGAUGUUUUUGAAAGAAGGCAGCCCUUCGGGGCAUCCGUCGAGGUGCUGCAUGGUUGUCGUCAGCUCGUGCCGUGAGGUGUCGGCUUAAGUGCCAUAACGAGCGCAACCCCCAUCGCCAGUUACCAGCAAGUAAAGUUGGGGACUCUGGCGAGACUGCCGGCGCAAGCUGUGAGGAAGGCGGGGAUGACGUCAAAUCAGCACGGCCCUUACGUCCGGGGCGACACACGUGUUACAAUGGCAGGUACAGAGAGAAGCGAUGCGGCGACGCAGAGCGGAACUUCAAAGCCUGUCUCAGUUCGGAUUGGAGUCUGCAACCCGACUCCAUGAAGCUGGAUUCGCUAGUAAUCGCGCAUCAGCCACGGCGCGGUGAAUACGUUCCCGGGCCUUGCACUCACCGCCCGUCAAG
rnacentral:rRNA from 1 species